GACGAACGCUGGCGGCGUGCUUAACACAUGCAAGUCGAGCGGUAAGGCCCUUUCGGGGGUACGACGAGCGGCGAACGGGUGAGUAACACGUGGGUGACCUGCCCUCAGCUCUGGGAUAAGCCUGGGAAACCGGGUCUAAUACUGGAUAUGACUCCAUGACGCAUGUUGUGGGGUGGAAAGCCUUGUGCGGCUGAGGAUGGGCCCGCGGCCUAUCAGCUUGUUGGUGGGGUGANGGCCUACCAAGGCGACGACGGGUAGCCGGCCUGAGAGGGCGACCGGCCACACUGGGACUGAGACACGGCCCAGACUCCUACGGGAGGGCAGCAGUGGGGAAUCUUGCGCAAUGGGCGAAAGCCUGACGCAGCGACGCCGCGUGAGGGAUGACGGCCU
rnacentral:rRNA from 1 species